GACAGAGGGUGCAAACGUUGUUCGGAAUUACUGGGCGUAAAGCGUGUGUAGGCGGCUUUGCAAGUCGGAUGUGAAAGCCCCGGGCUCAACCCGGGAAGUGCACUCGAUACUGCAGAGCUUGAGUGUCGGAGAGGUUGGUGGAAUUCUCGGUGUAGAGGUGAAAUUCGUAGAUAUCGAGAGGAACACCGGCGGCGAAGGCGGCCAACUGGACGAACACUGACGCUGAGACACGAAAGCCAGGGGAGCGAACGGG
rnacentral:rRNA from 1 species